UACGAAGGGGGCUAGCGUUGUUCGGAAUUACUGGGCGUAAAGCGCGCGCAGGCGGUCUUCCAAGUCAGUGGUGAAAGCCCGGAGCUCAACUCCGGAACUGCCAUUGAAACUGUUGGACUUGAGUACGAGAGAGGUGGGUGGAAUUCCCAGUGUAGAGGUGAAAUUCGUAGAUAUUCGGAGGAACACCAGUGGCGAAGGCGGCUCACUGGCUCGAUACUGACGCUGAGGUGCGAAAGCGUGGGGAGCAAACAGG
rnacentral:rRNA from 1 species